CUUGGAGAACACGUGCCAUUAUGAUAACUCAUCAUAGAUGUAUUGCAAUUGUAUAAAUAACCUCACUGAGGAGUUAAAAAGAAUCCCAGUGGCAUAGGCAGCUGGUCAGCUGGCUGCUGAAGGACAAAGGGAGAAUAUGCUGUUGGUGCACAACACGUCUGAUCUCAGAAGGCAAAAUCAGCUACAUUUAUCUAUUUGACAGUCCCUGCCAGGCUGACAUGGAAAUGUCUAUUUAUGCAUCUGAGGUGCCUCUCUCAGGAAACAUGAUCAACAUUUUCAUUUGCAUCCAGAAACAGAGCCUUGAAGGAAUACCGAGCACCUGGAACUGGAAAUCUCUCAGAGGUGAGCUAGCCACCUGGGAGGCAGACUUUAUGAAUCCACAUCUUCUGCGCUCAGAGCAGGACAGCACAAAAUAAAUCCCUCAAGGGAUACUUGAAAGAGCAGGAGUCACGUUGUUAAGUAUAGACCAGAACUGUAUUCAUCAUGGUUUUAUUAAUAACCUUUUGCUCUUAAUCUUUCACUUGGAUGUUUGCCCUUAAGUCUUGCUUAACGUAAUUUGGCAGUUUCACCCCUCAGCUAGUCUGGCGCUAUGGAGAGGCAAGAUGAAACAGAUUGAAAGCAACAAGCUUUUGGUGGAAAAUGAAGGCAAAGAAGGAUACACAGUGUCUUAAGAGAUAAGUGUCUCCCGUGACAGGGUCAGAGAAGAUCAGAGCUUGCAAAUAUUUUCCUCCUAUGUUCAAAGAGUUGCUGGGGGAUGGACAGGAAGAGGAGACUUUAGUAGGAGGAGAGGAAUAACCCUGAUGGCAAUGAACUAACUCCUCUCUUGUAAGAAACAGAUGGCAGAGAAAUACUGCACAGUUCUGGACGUCCUCUGGAUUUUCAAACAAGUUCUGAUGCCGUGUUUGGUUGUUAUGAGAAGGCAGAAGGUCCUUUUUCACUGCCACCGGGAGCAUGCCAGUUUUAUCAAAGCUAUCCAGGGGUACCAGAGUGCCCUAUUGCAUUUUCCUGAUAGUUCAUCAAAGAUGGUAAGCAAAUAUCCAGUCUUCAGUAAGGCCUAAUCUAAAAACCAAUCAAGCUCUUUUACAGUAAUCACAACUGAAAUAAUGGAAGUCACUGCCCAAGACAAAAGCUGAAGAAGGCAUCCAGCCAUGAUAUCUGUUGGGUUUUCACUGAGAAGGGCAAGGAUACCUGCAUAGAAAAGACAGAUCUUGCUUACUGUUGGAGGUAGCUCUAUUUAAGGAAAAGCUGAAACAUUCCAGAAACAGGAAGACCAAGGAAGCAAGUGAACAAGCCAAACAGCAGUCCUUCAAGAUGGAGAGAAAAAAAACCUGAGAGAAAGUUCUUAUUCCUCCUAGCACGUAAGUUCCUCUGAAGAGGAAGCAGGUAUAAAGAGCAUGAAAUAAAGAGCAUGAAAUCUGAUCCUCGGAAACCUCACAAAUACAACUCUUGACCCAAUACAGAUUAUAAAGAGAGGCAUUAUAAUAUUGCUCACUGUGACACUUUUGAACAGUUAGAAUAAAAAGCUGUCUGGAAUUGUAAAACCAGAAAAGCAGUUACAACGUGAAAUUCUGUCACAGUGAAAAGAACUGGCUGUGACAUGAAGGAAUAUCACAGGCAAGAGGUGGACUAAGAGAACAAUUCACAGAUCUAUAGAAAUACUUCAGUUCCAUCAAUGAAUAUCUGAGGCCUGUUAGCUUGCAGGAACAAAGCUCCAGAGCACAAAAGUCAGCCAGACAGCUAUGGAAUAGACUUGAAGAGAUCCGUUUCAAGACUCUGAAUUUGGUUACUGAAUUUAUCAUCGAUGGAAAUUCCCAGGAUCACAGACUCUAGGCAGAAGGAAUAGAAAUUGCCAAGACACAAAUCAUGAAAACACUGGGAAGCUGGAAAGUCAAAACAAAAGGUGGUUACCUUUGUGGUUCACGUCUCAAAUGCAAAUAGUGAUGACAUCCUUCCUGAAUGAAGAAAAUAAGUUUAACACUAACCUGUUAAAUUCACCUCAAAGAACUUGCGGUAGAAAAAGGAGAACCUGAGAUAGGCAUUAGUGGAGAAUGAAAUGGUGAUUGCCAUUGGCAUUUUGGAACAAGUAGUGUACUGCAUACUGCACUUCAACCAAGGACACACCCUGAAUUUCUAUACGUAAAUAACGCCAUGAUUAUUCUUCCUUUACAACUAACAACAUUUUGUAUGGCUUUUAUUCUAAAGCAAGCAACAGGCUUUUCAAUGGUUCAGGCAAAGUUGGAAGUCAGUUCUCCUAAAACAACAGAUGGGAUAGGGCUACUUCUGCCUGCCACAGAAAAGUGGGGAGUUGCAGUAGUGAGAUGUAGAGGAUCCAUGCUGCUAAUCUUGCUGCCUCCAGGGACUGAUUCUAGUCAACUAUCACAGCUGCUGGGACUGGGCAUUCUACCAAUAGUUUCCACUCCUACUUUAGGGGCAGCAGCAGCUUCAGUCAACCUGUCUUUCCCAGUCCUAAUAUGGAAAAAAAUUGGUGGGAGGGAGUGGGGAGUUAAUGCACUUCAUCUUCCCAGUAGCCUGCUACCUUAGGCAAUUUCUGCUUUGGCUAUGCUUACAGCAAGUCCACUUUGCUGCUGAAAGCUGAGGACUCAAUUUAACUUUGCUUCUUCUGCAUUCUUGGAAGAUUCAGCAGUGUCUACCAGCAUCCAUCUUCUGAGAGUCUGGAGUCUUUACAUGCAGAAAAUUCACCUUGUGUCAGUUUUAAUUGCGUCUCCAGAGACAUCGAUAUAAUGUAAUUCCCCCCAAAAACAAACCGUUUUCCUAUAAUGACCAAUAAUUUUUGUAACGUGCUCUCCAUAUUGUACUGUUCAAAUUCUUUAUGAAAAAGCUUUUGUGUUUUUACAUCAAAUUCUUGAUGUAAAUGGCUACUGUGAGAUUUUUCUAUAAGUUGGUGCAACAUGAGAGUUAGCAGUGUGCCAGAGUAGAGUCUGAAUAAUGUUUGAUCAGGAAGAGCUGUACAGUAAAUAAUAGAUUUAAAAACAGGAACAGCUUUGAAGUCUGUAUCGGCAGUCACUCAUUGUACAGUAACAUCAGAACAUGCAUUGCAUCAAUAUUGGCAGAUAAUACCAAAAUUUCAGUAAAUAUUUGUGUUUGAGGCUAGAGUUAUUAAAACUGUAUGCAGGUAUUUUUGUUACAGCUUUCCUGACAGAUUAUACCAUGGUUGGCUAAUUCAAGUAGUGUGGCUUGGAAUGACAGAAAAAAAGAAAAAAUAAAAAAACAAGCAGUACAAUAAUUUUAUUCAACAUAAAAUCAUACCUUGGCUAUAAUAGCACUUUAUACCCAACUUCAUAGCCUACUUCAUUCCAUUAUUUUUAUUACAAAUGUCGGAAACUUUGCUAAGAGGAAAGAUGUUCAGCAAUGUUCUCUAAAGUUCAGCCCUCUUUUCCACUUGCAGAGUUUCACUGCACCCUCAUGAGAGUCACUUUGUGUUUCAGUGCUUUGGCUCCCAGGAUAUAAAAUAAUAACCUUGUGAUACCUAACAGAUCUGCUAUCUUAGCACAGCUCACUCUAGAUUCUGGUACACUGCAGUGUUUCAGGAGAAAGAUGGUUUAUCUAUGUACACUUUUGCAUUUACAUUUUCUCUUUCAAAUUUGUCUCUUGAACAUUUGUCCUUUCUUUUCCAGCUCUAACUUCCUGCAUUUAGUUUUGCUUCAUGUAAUGCUGCAUCUUCCAGUACAGUCUUCUUCACCUUCAGACACUUUCCUGCAUCAUGCAACUCUGAGGAGGUCUCUCUCUGUACUUCUUUUCUCUGCCAUUAUUACUUUUCCUAUGCUACUACUAGGUUCUCUAAGAUUGAGGAUAGCUAUUUCCAAACUUCCCCAUACCUUUGCAUCUCCUUUCCUAUUAUUCUUUAUUUUCCUGUCUGUGUACGUCUUCCCCUUGUAAGAGAAUUUGUUCCCCUUACGGAGCCCUGCACCAUUAAGUAUUCACUGAUGAGGAGGUAGGGAGAUUUGAAGUACAAGCUGACAGAGAACUUCUAUUCAUGAUACAUGCUGGCCUUUAGCUAUGUGUAAAAUAUCACAGUGAAAGAACACAUCUGACAGAACUGAAGAGAUAAAUUCCAAAUGUGUAGACAUCAACAAUGGGACAUUUCCUGAUAAAUCAAAUUCGGAAUCUUCUGUCCCACAGAAUUUCACUCAUUUGCUGUUGGUGAAUAAGCAGUGGGUAUUGACAUGACUAUGAAGAGCAUUAAGACAAACCUUUUAAAUGAUCUGCUGGACCAACUGGAGGUCUACUCUGUGCUUUCACUCCUCUAUUUUACUUUUUUUUUUUUUCUUGCCUUUAUGACUCAAACAAUGCACCAAGUGAUUCAUGGUAGGGAUGGUAUGCACCUCGAAUAAACAGUUGACCAAUGAUCAGUGCAAAAAAGCUUCUAUCCUUGCAGAGGCCUUGAAGUUGCAACAGGUUUAACCACAGGAAGCUUCACAGGUUAAAUUGUACAUAUUGGCCCAACUAAGAAACAAACUCAAAGCUAUGUAAUACCUGGUUUGAGGGCUGAUUACAGUCCAGAUGCCAAUGGCUCCCAAUUGUUUUUUAACUUAUCCAGUGCAGUGGGCCUUGAAAGAGUGCUAAGUCAGAGGUGAGAAGUGCUGUUGUUUAACUUGAUUUCACUCAUGUGGGGGAUCUAGACCUUUCCUUUGAAUUCAGAAUUCUCAUUGUUAAUCCUUGUUUAAAAAAUAAUGGUUACAAAUUGGCCUUUCAGCAAAGAUCUCAGAAUCCCCUAGAAAUCCUAGAGUAACAACAGAUGUAGUAUUUAUAUGUAUGGUGAUAAGUAUAUUUAAAACUUUUAUAAUUGUUCAGUUCCAAAAUGAACCAUUAAAGUUGGACACAUGCAUACAUGCAUGUAUCCAUAUCUAAACCUCUAACUAUAUGUGAGUGUAAUUUUGCCUAAAUACACGUUAAUUCAUAGGAUAGAAUCAUUUUUUCCAUAGGUUGAAAAAAAAACCUCUAAGAUCCCCAAGUUCAACUGUCAACUCAUUAUGACCGUGCCCACUAAACCAUGGUCCUAAGUGCCACAUCUUCAUGUUUCUUGAACACUUCCAAGGAUUGUGAUUCCACCAACUCCCUGGGCAGUCUGUUCCAAUGCCUCACCACUCUUUCAAAGAAGAGAUUUCUCCUAAUAUUCUACCUGAACCUUCCCUGGCACAACCUGAGGCCAUUUCCUCUCAUUCUAUCACUAUUACCGAGGGAAAGAGGCCAACAACCACUUCACUGUAACUUUCGUUCAGGUAGUUGUAGAGAGCAAUAUGGGCUCCUCUGAGCCUCCUCCAGAUUAGACAAUCCCAGUUCCCUCAGCUUCUUCUGUACUUCUUGUACUCCAGACCCCUCAUAGCUUUGCUGCCCUUCUCUGGACUUGUUUCCAGGACCUCACUGUUUUUGUUGUAGUGAGGGGCCCAAAACUGAACAUAGUACUCGAGGUGCAGCUUCGCCAUUGCCGAGUACAAAGGACAAAAUUAAAGCUACUGCAAAGCUACAGAACAGUUGGUUUAAGGGCUGGUCAAAGUUCAGGUGCCUAAGACUCAUCCCAUUUCUCUUCAGUGCAAGCUGCAUUGAAACCUUUAACGUUUCAAAAGUGAUUAUUUUGGUAUGAUCACUAUUUCUGUUGUUUAUAUAACUUCUCCCAAUCUGUUCUUUCCUCAUUGUAUUCUUUUUCCCUUAUCCAUUCAUGCUUGCACCAAUCUUUCCUUUCUCUGAUCGCUGUUUUCCAUGCUGCUUCCUUUUUAUUUCCCCCCAUGGUUUGAAUUUUAUGAUUAGUCCCUUCAUGUUUCAGUGCCCUUUCUGAGAUGACACAGGGAAAGCAAUUCAGAAAAAGAGCAAUAAUUAGUUGAAAUCUUUAACUGCAUACCAAAUGUCAGAUCAUUCCUUGGAGGAUGGCAGCUAACAUGAAAAGGAAAACUCCCCAAAGUUCUCUUAAGUUCUCUGCUUUUUCUAGACCACUUCAAUAUACAGCGCAGUAAAGGAGAUUACUAGAAGUUCUUCUGAAAGUGGAAGUCAAUUCCCAACCAGAAAAAUAGAAAAGAAUAUCAACUCUGGCAAGUUAAAUUUAAUAAGCCCAGCCAAAGAAGAUUUUGAAGAGCAAUUUGCUAAAGGCAUGAAACUAAUAAUAAAAUGUUUUUUAAGCACAUCAGAAACAGGAAGUCAGCCAGAAAGUCUGUAGGGCUGAUAAGUAAUUGGGGUAUGAAAGGAGAGCUGAAAUAAGACUGUACACCAGCAAAGCGAGAAGAAUUCUAUAUAUAGGUGUUCAGAAGAACUUUUGGAGGUUCCUGUGCCAAAGCCUUUCUUUAAAGGCUACGUCUACAUCUGAAAACACAGAUGGAAAAUAGGUUGAGAUUACAAAAAACAAAACAAAACAAACAAACAAACAAAAAAACAAAUAAUAAUAAUAAAAAACCCAGAACCAUCCCAACUCAGCAUCUCACAAAUUUUGCUACCUAUCAAUGUUUCACAUUUCCUGGGGCCUAACCGUGCCUCCUUUGCAACUCACAGUACUGACAAAUUCAAACAUUCCAGUUUGUAAGCCCCAAAUCAUGAAUUUGUGAGAUGUGCAAUUACUAUUUCUUUCACUUUGUUCGUAGAAGACAAGUAAGAAGGAGAAUAUAGGUUUUUUGGUCUCACUUGUCACUAAGAGAAGUCGAAUUAGUUUGACAGGUAAAAAUAUAAAUGAAGAACUCCCACAUUAAAAACCUAUCAGAAUUAAAUUCACAUAUGUUUGUGAAAGUCUGGACAAAUUCCAGAAGCCAACAGCAUUUUACUUUUUCUUUGACAUGCAUAGUAGCCUCAUGAAAAUGCCAUGUAAUUAACUUAGUAUAAAAGGGAUAAAACGGUGAAGAGAACAACAAAGAUAAUUUGUCAUCAUGAUUUUCAUUAAAAAACCCACAGUAUUACAGGAAUUAAUUUCAGCAGUACUUUGCCCUGAUUACUGCCUGUCAGAUAGUAUAUGGGAAUCCAACAGGAUAUUUGAAUGGAGAAUGUUUGCAGAAUCUCAUCCAGCAUCUGCAGUAGGAAAGUAAGUAGUUUAUCUACAUUGACUGUAAUUUAUCAUCUAUAUUUUAAUAUUGCAAAAACUAAAGACUUUGCUCUAAUUUUAACUUCUCCUAACACCACUAUUUUCCAGUAAACGCUACAUUGAUAAUAGCUUUUCUGGACCGUGUUGUAGUCUUUCUCUUGGACAGGGAGACACAUCAAUGGACUUAAAAAUCACAAGUGUCAUUAAUUUGUUAUUUUUGUUUUCCAGACCUUGUAGAUGUUCACUAAAUGGCAUUACAUCACAUAUGCGCACAAACCUUACUGGCCAUGAAAAGAGAGAACCAAGUCUGGCUUCAGAUUCUGAAUUUUCCAACCGUCUGUAUAGCACUUAGCUCAUGUUCUUAUCCAGCCUUCACAUUUUUAUAUUUUCAAAAGGUUUGUCCUGUCAAGCAGACCUCUUUGGAGUUUGCAACACAUUUUAAUGUAAUGUCUAAACACUAAUCCACUAGCAUACUAGAGUGGCACUUUUUAUUACUUUAAAUAACCUCUUAGCCUACUGAUGCCUCUCUCAAUAUCCUGUGUUUCCACACACAGUUGAUGAAUAGAAUUAUUUGAGCUAAUCUGUGCUGUCCUUUAUUUCAGAUGGUACUUCUUGCAUGAUUAGCAAAGGACGCAUGGCUUAGAGAAGGGAAACAUAAAAUGCAAGGCAUGAUAUAAAUUUCAGUUUCUGUAACAUUUUUCCUUCAAGUUAUGUAAAAGUGUUUUUAUAAACAAUUUUACCUUAAGCUUAAGUGUGUCACUGUAGGAUUACUAUAGCAUUAUAGUAAUUACUCUGGGCAUUUUUGGCCAAAGCAAUGCAAUAUUUCAACGUAACACAUGUGAAAGCUGUGUUGGUUUGCUGUUUUUACAUCUAUUCACAGCUUCCUUAAGAGCUAUCCCAGCACACAACAGGUAUGGGGUUCAAACCUGCUUUGCUUGCAUCAUUGGAAAUAAUCACAUUAUGAGAUGACACACACAUUUGUUUGGCUCUAAGGAAAUGCUUAGAGAAGGCCAGUUAAGAUGAUGGCUUGGCUGCCUUAUUUAGAAGGAAAAUUCUGAGUAUCUAGUACAUUAAGCUAUUCAUUAAAAACAAAAUCUGUCAUGUCUCUUCUCUCACUGUGCUCUCUCCUCUGUGCUCUUUGUUUCCCUGUUCCCAGCUUCCUGAUCCUUCUAUCAUUUCAUAUUUCCAUUCUACCAAUAUGUUGAUCUCUUUUCUCCUCUUUGCUACCCUAAUAAUUGUUCUUUCUCCUGUUCCUCUUCACUCUUCCUGUACUAUCUCCUAUCUUCCUUCUAUUUAACACUGCCAUUCACUCCCAGCUUCUCAUUUUAUGCCCAGCCAGCCUCUCUCUAUUUACGUUAUUCCUCUUCUAGAAGCAUAUAUGCAUGAGAGAAAACAGCUUUCUCAUUCUCCAGUACUUCAUGUAAGGAAACUGUGCCAUUACACAGUUUUCCAAAUCCAGUUCACAUCAAUGCCCCAUUCAUAAUGUACCUUUGGAAGCAAGGGAACAUCAUUUAUUUUGAAUGUCCCCAAGCUACACAGCUAUUCUAGACAAGAACUAACUCUGUGAGUGGCAUGCAUGAUGGUGCCUCCAUGGUAAACAGUAAGUCUUGCUCUUCUCUGAAACUCUUUGAGACAGCUGGAUGUGUAAAACAAGUUACACUGGGUCAAGCUUCACAAAAAGUGUUUUCCCCCUCCUCUCCUCAGUGUUAGGUUUGACUUUUAAAUUAUUAAAGCUACUGAUCAGAAGUAGUACCACUGGGCAAGGCCUGGGGCUUCAGAAUACAAUGAUAUCACAGGCAUGAAAGCAUUUCUUUUCUGCCACAGUGGAGCAAUAGAACAGAACCUAAAAUAACAAGUAGAAAAUCUAGCGACAGGACAUUAGAUAUUUCUCUUUGAUUUUUCUUCCUUAGAUGUAAAAUUCUUUAAAUAGGCCAGUAUGUAGGCAACCUCUUAUUUAACUAGAAUUAUGGAAAUUGUACCCACUCAGCAUGGAAACAUAUUGAGUAGCAACAGCUAUUUAUUUCAACUGAUUUUUUCUUCCAAUCAAUAGAUAUAACUCCCAGGUAUUGACUAUAAUCUAUAUAUUUAAAAAUAACAGCAAUUACUGCCAGAACAUUGAAUAGCUGCUUAUAAUGGAAAACAUACACAUUAUGAGAAAGGAGUUAUUGUAAGUAUAUGCAUUCUGCAGUACAGAAAAUCUAUUACUACACACAAAAUAACAAGCUACUUCAUGUUUCCAGUCAGAGCACCAGGAUAGUCCAUGACUGAUUAACUAGAGCACAAAUAAAAUUGUGAAUGUGAUGUACCAAAGUGCCACCACUGAUAUUCCUACAUUUCCUGUGUUUUGCUUAAAAGAAUCAGUCUAAGAGAAAGGUGGUUGGAUGAUGUUUACUUACAUUUAGACAUUAUUUAUGAAAUAUUAGCCAUUACCACAGGGCCUGUACAAGGACAGUACUCUGCGCCUAGUGCUUGCUAUUGCUUAGUUCGUAGAAUGACAGGUUGGAAGGGACCUCAAAGAUCAUCCAGUUCUAGCGUGGUUGGCAGCCACUAGAUCAGGCUGCCCAGGGCCCCAUCCAACCUGGCUUCAAGCACUUUCAGGGAUGGGGCAUCCACAGUUUCUUUGGGCAACCUGUUCCAGUGCUUCACCACCCUCUGAGUAAAAAAUUUCCUCCUAAUACCUAAUCUAAAUCUCCCCUCUUUUAGUUUAAUCCAUUCCCCCCUUUUGUAUCACUGUCAGUCAGUUUCUCUCUUCUUUAUAAGCUCCCUACAAGUACUGGAAGGCCACAGUGAGGUCCCCCUGCAGCCUUUUUUUCUCCAGGCUGAACAAGCCCAAUUCUUCAACCUUUCUUCAAAAGAGAGGUACUGUGGCCUCCUCUGGAUCCCUCUCCAACAGCUCCACAUCUUUCUUAUAUUGGAGACCCCAGACCCAGACACAGUUGGCUAUAAAACUUUAGGUAACAUCUGCCACAGAAACUCAAUGGAAAUCAGGCCAUAUGAAUAUGAACCUCUCCCUGAGGGCAGGUAAUUGGAUACGUUACACUGAUGUGUUUGGGUGUCAUUUUCAGUAUUAAUGUGAUUGGCAAAACUCUAUGGGUGUUUCAGAAAGAACUUUCCUACUUAAUGUCCAUGCAUAUGUUGCGAGCAUGCAACAAGCAUGGAAAAGCAUAGGUGAUUUAUUUUGCUGUGCUCAUGAAUUCACAAAACAAGAAGUUUGGGCCAGAUAUUCACAUUAUCCUAGAAAAAGCAAGUGAAGAACCUCACAGGAUAACACAGCUACCUGUGGAUUCAGGGGUUACAAUUUAUGGAGCACAGCCAUGAGCACUACAAGCCCUAAACCAGGUUGCAGCAAUGCUGACCCGAACGCAAGCAGGACUGAGCAGGACACUCAACCUCCAGCUUAGCUAAUCAGGUUUCUCUACGUAGACCACAAGUCCAUAAAUCUCUGCACAGACGAUAUGCUCAGCAGGGAGUUAAGUGGCUGACAAAGAGCUGAAUGGAAGCACCCCAUGGGAAAACCAGUGUAUCUACGUUGAGUUAUAUGUGGGCACAGCAGGGCAAAGGCAGUGUCAUCUCCUGCCAGGGGCUGUCUUAGCAACUGUGAUGGAAUUCUUUUCUCCAGAAAUGCUCAUUAGAUGUUCCAUUCUAAAAGAUAUUUAAGCAAACAUAGAGACGCACCUUUAUGACAUUAAUGUAGGUUGGGUUUCUCAAAUAGCAUUCCAUAAUGCUAACUGCUCACUUUUCCAGAAGAAGAAUAACUGUAGCAUACAGAAAUAAGUGAUUAUCCUAAAGGUAUAGUGAUCAUUCAGGACAGAAACAUCUAGAUAUAGACUAACUGCUUAGGGUGCUUCCUGGCCUAAAUUGCAGUAUCACAUCUAAUAUCCAGGAUGCAGAAGACAGUUAAAGGAUAGAAACAAUGUUCAUAAAAUAAAGUAUUGAAAUGACUAUUCAAUUCCUAUUCUGUGGCAGAAAUUGCGAUGUUGGUUAUUAUUGGCCUUUCAUCCUUAAGCAAAUGUCUUUGAAAUACCACUCCUAAUGUGACUGAUGUGCCUCUGAAAUAGUUUCUUAAAUCAGAAUGCCUCCGUUACCAAUGUACAAUGGAGAUCCCUUCAGAGUUUCUGGUUUUUGUAUUAACCAGCUUUAUUUCUCAAUUUUUUUUUUUCCUCAAUGCUCUCUCUCCUCUGGUUAAGGUUUAGAAAUGCUUCUUACUGCAUCUAUGUAAGAACACAAGGCUCCAUAUAUAUUUUCUCUCAGCGAUUUUAUUCACUGAGAUACUCACUGAUAACACUGAUAAAUACUGAGAUUUAUUAAUUCUCAAAAUGGACUUCCAUUCUGAGAAAGUACAUUUACUACUUAAUAAUACAUAAUAAAAGUACAUAAUACUACUUCUCUGAAAGGGUGGUAGGGCACUGGAAUGGGCUGCCCAGAGAGGUGGUGGAGUCACCGAGCCUGGUGGUGUUCAAAGAGCGUUUGGAUGUUGUGUUGAGGGACAUGGUUUAGCAGGAACCAUUGGUGAAGGGUGAAUGGUUGGACUGGAUGAUCCUGUGGGUCUUUUCCAACCUAAGUGAUUCUAUGAUUCUAGGAUUCUAUGAUUUCUGCCUCUACUUCUUUUGAUAAUCCUACUAAUAAAGGCUAGUGUCAUUUAUUGGUAGGGAAUUCAAACAGUCAUAUUUUGAUGAUGAUGAUCUGCAGAAGAGAAAGUAUUUUGUUUUAUUUUUACUGUGGCAAUGGUGCUGCAGUACUUUUAUGCUAAGGAUAUUAGAAGGCAGAUAAUCAACAUGGAUAUUGCAACAACAGAUUUUUGAUUCUGAAGGAUAGAAAGAGAUGAACUAGUCCCACGCAACAUUUAGGUUUCUCCUCAGGUGUACAGGCUGUGCUAUCUCCUCCAUGUACAUAACUUACUUCUCUUUUGAAGGAAUCGUCAGGGAUUCCCUAGUAAAUUACCAAACUAAAUUCCUUGGGCCUUUCCAUUGCUGAGAUUAUGGAGCAUUAGUUAUCUACUGCCAGGUUAAGCUCUGUGAGCUGCUGAGGGCAUCUCCUAAUCAACUCUUAUCUCCCUAAAUGAUUGACUUAGAGACUAUGCUGUACUCCAAAGCAAACUUCUGUCUGCUGUGUAGUAAAUGUUUGACAAUCCUCAUUGAUUUCUAUUUACUUAAAUAAAGUAAUAAUCAAUUAAUGUGAAGGAAAAAAAAACCCAACAUCCUACAGCUACUACUACCGCCUUCUCUAGUGUGCAAAAUAUCUAAGACUCAGGGAAUAGCCAUCAUUCACUUUAUAUGCAACAGCUGGUUUUGUACACUGGUUUGGUAACAUUACUCCUCCCUGUUUUCCUUGCUCUGCCUGUAGCUGUACCUGUGGACACACUAAAAUGCGUAAGGCAAAACCAGUUUAUUUUAAGUGGUUCGAACUGUGGGUCUGAGCUGGGCUGGCUAAGUUUGCAAGUUUCAGGCUAAGGAGCAAUCACAUGAGGCACCCUGUGAGCAAACCCUCAGGGGCAGCGCUUGCAGCUGAGGGGUGCUAAUAGCAUUAGAAAGCAGAAAUGACACUAACCAGAACAGCUGGAUCCUAGAAGGUACCAUCCUGCUGCAGCUGUAAAACUUAUGCCUCAAUGAUCAUUAGGUGUGGGAAGAGCUAUGAUAUGAUGGGGAUAUGAGAUGGGGAAAAUUUCUGUAAAUGUCUUCAAAAAAGUUAAAAUAUGUUACUUCUAUCAAUUUGGUAUAUGCUGUCGUUUGAUUAAAAAAAUUGCCAGCUCAUAAACAGCCAAACUCUUGUACGUAUAGAAAGCAAAAAUAUUUUUAGUACUUAACCAUAAGCACCUCUAUGUGCAGUUUAUAAAUGAAAGCAUCAAGUCAAUAGCAUGUUUUAAAAUCCAAUGGUCAUUUGAUGGGCGUUUUCUUCCAGCCUCCAAGCCAGCUGAAGCGAUUCCCUUCCCUCCAAUGUGUGCUCAGUUGUACUACUCAAGGGGCUACUCCACAAAGCAGAUGAGCACAUCUACCUGCUUUAUAACGGACCUUGAGAGAGAAAAGGAGAUGGGUAACUUUCCUUGGUGACUAAACCAGUUCAGUGUUCAGUACAGAAAAACCUGUACAAGCAGAAUGUGAUGAAAAGGGGCAGAGACAGGUGAAAGGUUGUGGGCAGCUACCUAUCAUCAGCUUGGGCCACCAAGAACAAUACCCAUGGAAGUCUAAAUCCCACACCCUGCUCAGCACUGUUAUAGAAUCAUUAAGGUUGUAAAAGACCUUUAAGAUCAUUUAGUCCAACCAUCAACCCAUCGCCAACAUGCCCACUAACCAUGUCCAUCAGUGCCAACUAUCAACUAGAAUUGAUUAAUUUGCAUUAAUACUAAUAUAUAUAUUACAAAGUUAAAUAGUAAACAUAAUAAUUAAAUACUAAUAAUAUGAUCCUUAAUUUAAUAGUCAUUUAAAACUUUUAUCAAGUAAAAGGAAUACUCAUGUAUACAUAAGGUAUUUUAACACCUUUAAAAAACUUCAUCUAGAAAUACAAAAGGAAUUCUUAUGCAAGGAAACAGACCCUUAUGAUUCAAUGCAGUUUGCCUGUUGAAUUACUGAAGCAUGCCAGAAUAUCACCUAGAAGACUUCUCAGAAUUAGUCAUGCAAGACAUCAACCUGUUGUGCAAACACAUGGACACACAGCGUCAGACAAAACACAUGCUAACCUAACAUUGACUUAAAGCUGUUUUUUCUUCUGGACUUCACAAUGAGGGCUGCAGGUAUUUCUCCCCCUUCUCAAUGCUACACCAGAGCUCUGAGCAGAAGGCCAGUCAAGGUGCUCCUAGAUUCUUCUAGAUUGCACCACAACAUGGAUUUAUAUGUUAAAAGUGUAUGGCACCACUUCUGAAGUCGUGUGUGGCAUAUUAGAACAUAGAGGACUGGAGGAGAACUGCGAGAGACUGCUGACAAUGCCACCCCUACAAAGGAGAAGCUGUGUUGUCAGAAAUGAGGCUCUGGAGGAGGUUCAGCCAUCCCAUCAGCAUAACCUGUGCUGUAGAGGCAGCAAUUGUGGCUGUAAUGUUUUAACUGCGAUCAUUUAAAGACAUCCAUGUCAGACAUAAACAAGGUUCUGCACGCUUAAAAAUUGUCUGCUUCUUCCAGCUACACUGGUCAGCACAAUAAAAGAUGAUGCCUCUUGCCUGCAAACCCACUUCUCUUAUUUUCCAUUCAUUUAUAAUUAAAAACAUGAGUUUAAAGCAAAGAAAAAAUAUUUUCCCAUCCAAAAAGAAAAAUCACACACAAAGUAAAUGAAAACAAGGAAUUGUAUGCUUCUUCCAGCAGAUAUGAAUAUGAGAAAGCUAAGAAUUGUAAUUAAAGUUGUACCUCUUACUAUUUUCCAGAGCAAAAUACAAAUUAGCUAAGUGGCUGCAAUUAAUUCUUUAAGCAAAGCCGCAGGAUGGGAUCUCUGGGUCUCACUUUUAAUCAGAAAAACAUUAAAUUCUAGAAGGAUUAAAGCUACAGAAAGUUGCUGUUACGUGGUACAGUACUGAUCUAGCUUUACAAGUGAGUGAUGGGGAGCACAGGUGCAACAGACCGAAAUGCUGUUUUUCGUCACUCGGAGGGCACUACUUAAGAACAGUGGAAAAAAAGGGAUGUGUUCCAGCCGACAGCGGAAGAGCUGCUGUACUGAUUUUAGAGAUUGAUAUGACAUCUGGGCAAAGAUUUUAACAGCAGAAACGGUAGCACUGAUCUUAGCAGGCGUUAUCAUCUAUGAGAAAACAUUGUGGAAGCCUUUCUGGCUGUUAUUUUGUUAAACAAUCGUUGGAAAAACAAGUUUCACGCCUGAUGGUUUUGUUCCAAGUAUUUAAUGACAAGCAAAGCUCUAGAAGAUCUCUCUCAUCAUCCUUUUGGACUCCGUUUUCUCAUGCAAACUGAGGAUAUUUAGGUUUUAAUAUGAAAUAAUUUACUCACAGUGCUCUCGUGCUACUUUUCCUCCUUUGCAAAAAGGUAUUUUUUGAAACAUGGCUGAAGAGCCAAUCCAGAGAGUUGUCUUCUGAGCACAGCAGCUGAAUACAACACACAGUCGCGGAAUUAUUCCUCUUGAGAUACUCACAGGGAUGAGUUGGUAACGCUCUGCAUAUUGUUCUGAGCAUAAUGGGAAAUGCCAUCCAAGCCGGCAAGGGUGUAAAACUCUUUUUCCUGAUUGGUUGCUCAUCCCAAACUGCCUGGCAAAGGUUUGAAAUAUGCAAUGCAGGGAAGUGAUAUUCUGUGGCAUUCAUUCAAUUUACCUGCACUGCACUCCAGGGAGCCAUGCUAUUAAACAACAGCUCCAGCGGGUCAAUAAAGUUAACUUAAUUAAAUUGCUUUCCCUCCCACUUCUCCAACUAGCAAGAUUUAGGGCACAGGGAC
rnacentral:lncRNA from 1 species